GGAGAGAUGCGAGAGCGGUUGAAUCGGACGGUCUCGAAAACCGUUGUACUCGCAAGGGUACCGAGGGUUCGAAUCCCUCUCUCUCCG
rnacentral:tRNA from 1 species